rnacentral:rRNA from 1 species
CAGUAGCCACGGUAAUACGAAGGGUGCAAGCGUUACUCGGAAUUACUGGGCGUAAAGCGUGCGUAGGUGGUGGUUUAAGUCCGUUGUGAAAGCCCUGGGCUCAACCUGGGAAUUGCAGUGGAUACUGGGUCACUAGAGUGUGGUAGAGGAUAGUGGAAUUUCCGGUGUAGCAGUGAAAUGCGUAGAGAUCGGAAGGAACAUCUGUGGCGAAGGCGACUAUCUGGGCCAACACUGACACUGAGGCACGAAGGCGUGGGGAGCAAACAGGAUUAGAUACCCCCGUAGUCCCUGUCUCUUAUAC